GUGUCAGUAUUAGGUUAACAUACCAAAACAUGGGUGUUCGCACGUAUACAAGUCAUACUGGUCACCCUGACAUAGCUAUGUGAAGGGGAUGAGUGUGUCACAGGGAUGUGUCAGUAUUAGGUUAACAUACCAAAACAUGGGUGUUCCAUGUAUACAAGUUGUACUGGUCACCCUGACAAAGCUAUGUGAAGGGGAUGAGUGUGUCACAGGGAUGUGUCAGUAGGUUAACAUACCAAAACAUGGGUGUUCACAUGUAUACAAGUCAUACUGGUCACCCUGACAUAGCUAUGUGAAGGGGAUGAGUGUGUCACAGGGAUGUGUCAGUAGGUUAACAUACCAAAACAUGGGUGUUCACAUGUAUACAAGUCAUACUGGUCACCCUGACAUAGCUAUGUGAAGAAGAUGAGU